GUUAAAGGGAGCAAUGCAAGGAUACAAGGGUUGCUGUGAUGUAAGCAAUGUAGGGAUGUAAGGAGUGCAAAGAUGCAAUGGGUGCAGAGAUAUAAUGAAAGCAGAGAUACGAGGGAUGCAGAGAUGUAGGCUCGUACCCCUCGGCGAUCGCUAUAAGAUUGAGGGGGUUUCACUUCAUUUCAGUGUCGAACGGUUGAGGAUGGUCCCGCAACCAGCUACCUGUACUUUAAUCAGUGUCUGCAGAUAUAUAUUUUUUUUAUUAACGUGGGGAAAUCUUGCAUAAGAUCCUCCACCGUCCCCUGGGAGAGGUCGACGGGGGAGUGUCAGAUUCCUACUGAUUAAAACCCCGCGGCGACCGAUACUGGCGCUAAAAGAGGGUUCCAGAACCUUAUGUAUAUUACUCCGAAGCCCUCCACGCCUGGCACACAGGUGCGCAUCUUGCGUGCCUUUCAUGUGGCCGAUACCGGGGGUCGCAUCCCCAAAAUCGUGCCCCAACGGGUACAAAGUAUGUUGUCUUUCUGUAUCUGUAUUCACUCCUUACAUACUUCCACACACACCCACACAUACAUGCAUAGUGGAGAGGGACUUGGGGUAGGAAAAAUAACAGAAAUGGAAUUGAAUUUUAAUAAAAACAUAUUCAUUAUAGUACGUUACACAGUUCAUCUAUUUUUAAAUACAAUAUAUUACAGAGAAACACACAGUUAUAAUUUACUGUUAUUAAUAUUAUGUCUCUUAUAUUAUAAUUAACUUAUGAUUAUUA